rnacentral:rRNA from 1 species
GAUGAACGCUGGCGGCGUGCCUAAUACAUGCAAGUCGAGCGAACGGACGAGAAGCUUGCUUCUCUGAUGUUAGCGGCGGACGGGUGAGUAACACGUGGAUAACCUACAUAUAAGACUGGGAUAACUUCGGGAAACCGGAGCUAAUACAGGAUAAUAUUUUGAACCGCAUGGUUCAAAAGUGAAAACCGGUCUUGCUGUCACUAAUACAUGGAACCGCGCUGCAUUAGCUAGUUGGUAAGGUAACGGCUUACCAUGGCAACGAUGCAUAGACGACCUGAGAGGAGGACCAGUCACAUAGGAGACGAGACACGGUCCAGACUCCUACGGGAGGCAGUAGUCGGGAAUAUUGGAACAUGGGCGAAAGACUGAUCCAGCAAAGGUGCGAGAGUAGAGAAGGUUUUAGGAUUUUAAAGCAUUUUAAGUUGAGAGGAAGGGAAGUAAGUUAAUACCUUGCUGUUUUGACGUUACCAACAGAAUAAGCACCGGCUAACUUCGUG